GAUGAACGCUGGCGGCGUGCCUAAUACAUGCAAGUCGAGCGAACGGACGAGAAGCUUGCUUCUCUGAUGUUAGCGGCGGACGGGUGAGUAACACGUGGAUAACCUACCUAUAAGACUGGGAUAACUUCGGGAAACCGGAGCUAAUACCGGAUAAUCUUUUGAACCGCAUGGUUCAAAAGUGAAAGACGGUCUUGCUGUCACUUAUAGAUGGAUCCGCGCUGCAUUAGCUAGUUGGUAAGGUAACGGCUUACCAAGGCAACGAUGCAUAGCCGACCUGAGAGGGUGAUCGGCCACACUGGAACUGAGACACGGUCCAGACUCCUAAGGGAGGCAGCAGUAGGGAAUCUUCCGCAAUGGGCGAAAGCCUGACGGAGCAACGCCGCGUGAGUGAUGAAGGUCUUCGGAUCGUAAAACUCUGUUAUUAGGGAAGAACAUAUGUGUAAGUAACUGUGCACAUCUUGACGGUACCUAAUCAGAAAGCCACGGCUAACUACGUG
rnacentral:rRNA from 1 species